rnacentral:rRNA from 1 species
GACGAACGCUGGCGGCGUGCCUAAUACAUGCAAGUUGAGCGAUGAAGAUUGGUGCUUGCACCAAUUUGAAGAGCAGCGAACGGGUGAGUAACGCGUGGGGAAUCUGCCUUUGAGCGGGGGACAACAUUUGGAAACGAAUGCUAAUACCGCAUAACAACUUUAAACAUAAGUUUUAAGUUUGAAAGAUGCAAUUGCAUCACUCAAAGAUGAUCCCGCGUUGUAUUAGCUAGUUGGUGAGGUAAAGGCUCACCAAGGCGAUGAUACAUAGCCGACCUGAGAGGGUGAUCGGCCACAUUGGGACUGAGACACGGCCCAAACUCCUACGGGAGGCAGCAGUAGGGAAUCUUCGGCAAUGGACAAAAGUCUGACCGAGCAACGCCGCGUGAGUGAAGAAGGUUUUCGGAUCGUAAAACUCUGUUGGUAGAGAAGAACGUUGGUGAGAGUGGAAAGCUCAUCAAGUGACGGUAACUACCCAGAAAGGGACGGCUAACUACGUG